rnacentral:rRNA from 1 species
CAGUCGCCACGGUAAUACAGAGGGUGCGAGCGUUAAUCGGAUUUACUGGGCGUAAAGCGUGCGUAUGCGGCUAAUUGAGUCGGAUGUGAAAUCCCCGAGCUUAACUUGGGAAUUGCAUUCGAUACUGGUUAGCUAGAGUGUGGGAGAGGAUGGUAGAAUUCCAGGUGUAGCGGUGAAAUGCGUAGAGAUCUGGAGGAAUACCGAUGGCGAAGGCAGCCAUCUGGCCUAACACUGACGCUGAGGUACGAAAGCAUGGGGAGCAAACAGGAUUAGAUACCCCAGUAGUCCCUGUCUCUUAUAC